GCCUGUUUGGCUCAGUGGAUAGAGUGUCUGCCUGCAGACAGAAGGGUCCUGGGUUCAAUUCCAGUAAAAGACA
rfam:Myotis brandtii contig9183, whole genome shotgun sequence.